AAUAAACGUUGGCGGCGUGCUUAACACAUGCAAGUCGAGCGAGAAAGGUCUUCGGACUGAGUACAGCGGCAGACGGGUGAGAAACGCGUGGGAAUCUGCCUUUUAGUGAAGAAUAUCCUCGAGAAAUCGAGGUCAAUACUGCAUAAGUCUCGAAAGAGAGAAAGAUGGCCUCUUUGCUGUCGCUAAAAGAUGAGCCUGCGUACUAUUAGCUAGUUGGGGGGUAAUAGCCUACCAAGGCGAUGAUGGUUAGCCGACCUGAGAGGGUGUACGGCCACACUGGAACUUAGACACGGUCCAGACUCCUACGGGAGGCAGCAGUGAGGAAUAUUGCGCAAUGGGCGAAAGCCUGACGCAGCGACGCCGCGUGGAGGAUGAAGGUCUUGGAUUGUAAACUU
rnacentral:rRNA from 1 species